rnacentral:lncRNA from 1 species
CAACUGUCGGCCAAAUGUCACGUGACAUUUGACCUUGACUCGGCACCAAAAUUUGAUGACAAAUACUGCGCGGUUGAUACAUUUGAUGGCGUCAACAAACUGCUUGCUCCAAAUCUUAUACAAUUUUAAGCUUGUAUCAGAUUUUCAAUCUUUUCUCUUGUAUUUUGCUGUGACCUGCCUAGUAUUUUAUUGCAGAUUGCAGAGCUCUUACUCUGAUUCAGUUUUGUGUUGCUGCAAGAUGUAGGUACAUUUAGGAGGUUUCCAAGAGAGGAGAAGAUGAGGGUCGCUUGGGUGAGGGCUGUCAGACGUGCAGAUGCAGUUCCCAGGAGCACUUCCCAGCUCUGUUCCUGUCAUUUUGAGGAGGGCAGCUGCAUCCCAACACUCUUCCAGUACAACGGGACAUCGGGUACCAGAUUGCUCAUUUCCGGUCGCCUGUGCUACACCAAGCUCAGAAAGGGAAAGCGGAUCACACAGCCACCAUCAGCGCGCUAGAACUCCAAGGAGGAUCUGCGAGCGGCGCGCCAGGCGCCGUCGGAGCAGCCCCUGGUAGCGACAGCCGCCGCGCCGUCGGAGCAGUCCCUGGGAGCCACGGCCAGCCGCUGUCGGAGCAGCCUCUGGGAGCCGGCCGGCCGCCGUCGGAGAGGCCUCUGGGAACUUACCUGUAACUGACUGCGGCUGACGUGUGUGUCCGUGUGCGCGCGUGUGUGUGUGCGUUUCCACUGGCAGUGAUAGUGACAGGUGAACGGUGUUCAUGACCGAUGGCCGGCGGUCUUUGUUGUUAUUCUGAUAAUACGUAUGAGACAUUGUUUUAAUAUGUUUUGUUCUGAAACGUUUCCAAAAACUGAAUCACUUCAUUAUCAUUCUACUUAAUUAAAGCAUGUUUACCAGAUAAAAGGAUUUGCAAAUCAAAGGAAGUAAAAUUGUGUGAAAAUUUACUCAGUUGCGCAGCUAGCCAACACACAUUUGCUACUGUCAGGCCGCUAUGGAACAUGUUCAAAGUAGCUCAACGUAUUGAAUGACUCACUGCUCCCCCCCCCCCCCCGCCAACGUUGGCGCGCAUUGGGCGCAGGCACAAGAGUGGUAUCAACGACCGCCGUCUUGAGCUGCACCAGGGUCUGCUGGCUCUUCGUCAUGUAUGGUGCAUUGUUCAGAUAUCCCCGCUGCACGCUGUACGCUGUACGCCACUGUUUCGUUAUAAUAUUUUCUGCUCGAUUUGUUUGAAAUAUGGAAAUAUGUAUAGACACUGGAUGUGCAAAGCGUCCGUGUAGGACA